ensembl:lncRNA LINC01044 long intergenic non-protein coding RNA 1044
GGGGCUGGACACCCGCUCAUGGCCACAGAGGGCAGCUUCCGGGCGACGCUCCAGCUCUGCCUCUCGGACUCCUCACGGACACAGGCGUGUGUUUGAAACGGAUCGAUGUCCCCCCGGUUCCUUUCACAGACACCAGAAAGCCCGCGAACACACCUCACAGGCUCCGAAGUCUCACUCUGAUCUUGGCUCACUGCAACCUCUGCCUCCUGAGUUCAACUGAUUCUCCUGCCUCAGCCUCACCAGUAGCUGGGAUUACAGAUGCCCAUCACCAUGCCCGGCUAAUUUUGUAUUUUUAAUAGAGACAGGGUUUUGCCAUGUUGGCCAGGCUGGUCUCGAACUCCUGACCUCAAGCGAUCCACCUGCCUCGGCCUCUGGGAUUACAGAUGUGAGCCAUCGCACCUGUGCGUGAAGGUUUUCUAACCUUCUAUCAGAUUUUCUAACCUCCCCAAGCCACAGGAUGAGAAAAGUGUGCGAUGCUCCCGCCUGAGGAAGCCAGCCCAGCCAACGCAGAGCCAAGGACCACUGAAGGCAUUGCCACUGCUACACGCUUGGAGCCAUCCAUGCCUGCAGCCGCGUUGAAUGCCUUCUGCUUCUUUCCUAUGCCAGCUUGAACUGGGUUACUUUUGCUUACAAAUGAAGUACUCUAACUCAGGAAAU